GUGGUCAAGCUAAUAAGGGCUAACGGUGGAUACCUAGGCACACAGAGGCGAUGAAGGACGUGGUUACCGACGAUAUGCUCCGGGGAGUUGGAAGCAAACUUUGAGCCGGAGAUUUCCGAAUGGGGCAACCCUAUAUACUACCUGCUGAAUAUAUAGGCAGGAGAGAGCCAACCCAGCGAACUGAAACAUCUUAGUAGCUGGAGGAAGAGAAAUCAAUUAAGAGAUUCCCUAAGUAGUGGUGAGCGAACGGGGAAGAGCCUAAACCAAAGGGUUUACCUUUUGGGGUAGUGGGACAGCGAGAUCGAAUCUGGAGGUUAGAUGAAGCAGCUAAAUACUGCACCAAAGAAGGUGAAAGUCCUGUAGUCGAAAACUUAAGGAUAGUAGCUGAAUCCCGAGUAGCAUGGGGCACGAGGAAUCCCAUGUGAAUCAGCGAGGACCACCUCGUAAGGCUAAAUACUACUGUGUGACCGAUAGUGAACCAUUACCGCGAUGGAAAGGUGAAAAGAACCCCGGAAGG
rnacentral:rRNA from 1 species